GUGGGGAAUAUUGGGCAAUGGGGGAAACCCUGACCCAGCAAUGCCGCGUGAGAGAAGAAGGUUUUCGGAUUGUAAAUCUCUGUCCUAAGGGAAAAAACAAAUGAUGGUACCUUAGGAGGAAGCCCCGGCUAACUACGUGCCAGCAGCCGCGGUAAUACGUAGGGGGCGAGCGUUGUCCGGAAUUACUGGGCGUAAAGGGCGCGUAGGCGGUUUUGUAAGCCUGGUGUAAAAGGUGUACGCUUAACGUACAUAGGUCGCUGGGGACUGCGAGACUAGAGUUUAGGAAGGGGAGCUGGAAUUCCAGGUGUAGGGGUGAAAUCUGUAGAUAUCUGGAAGAACACCAAUGGCGAAGGCAAGCUUCUGGCCAUAGACUGACGCUGAGGCGCGAAAGCGUGGGGAGCAAACAGGAUUAGAAACCCCAGUAGUCC
rnacentral:rRNA from 1 species